rnacentral:rRNA from 1 species
UGCAUGUCGAACGGUAACAGGGAGCUUGCUCCGCUGACGAGUGGUGAACGGGUGAUGUAAUAUAUCGGAACGUACCCAUGAUGUGGGGGAUAUCGUAGCGAAUGUUACGCUAAUACCGCAUACGAUCCAUGGAUGAUAUGCAGGGGACUCUUCGGACCUUGUGCUCCUGGAUGCGGCCGAUAUCUGAUUAGCUAGUUGGUGAGGUAAUGGCUCACCAUGGCGACGAUCAGUAGCUGGUCUGAUGAUGGACGACCAGCCACACUGGAACUGAUGACACGGUCCAGACUCCUACGGGAUGGCAUGCAGUGGGGAAUUUUGGACAAUGGGCGCAUGCCUGAUCCAGCAAUGCCGCGUGAGUGAAGAUGGCCUUCGGGUUGUAAUGCUCUUUUGUCAGGGAUGAGACGGUGGGGGCUACUACUCCUCCACUAAUGACGGUACCUGAAGAAUAUGCACCGGCUUACUACGUGCCAGCAGCCGCGGUAAUACGUAGGGUGCAAGCGUUAAUCGGAAUUACUGGGCGUAGAGCACUGCGCAGGCGGUUUUGUAAGUCUGUCGUGAAAUCCCCGGGCUCAACCUGGGAACUGCGAUGGAGACUGCAAGGCUAGAAUCUGGCAGAGGGGGGUAGAAUUCCACGUGUAGCAGUGAAAUGCGUAGAGAUGUGGAGGAACACCGAUGGCGAAGGCAGCCCCCUGGGUCAAGAUUGACGCUCAUGCACGAAAGCGUGGGGAGCAAACAGGAUUAGAUACCCUGGUAGUCCACGCCCUAAGCGAUGUCUACUAGUUGUCGGGUUUUAAUUAACUUGGUAACGCAGCUAACGCGUAAAGUAGACCGCCUGGGGAGUACGGUCGCAAGAUUAAAACUCAAAGGAAUUGACGGGGACCCGCACAAGCGGUGGAUGAUGUGGAUUAAUUCGAUGCAACGCGAAAAACCUUACCUACCCUUGACAUGUACGGAAGCCACGAGAGAUCGAGGUGUGCUCGAAAGAGAGCCGUAACACAGGUGCUGCAUGGCUGUCAUCAGCUCGUGUCGUGAGAUGUUGGGUUAAGUCCCGCAACGAACGCAACCCUUGUCAUUAGUUGCUACAUUUAGUUGAGCACUCUAAUGAGACUGCCGGGACAAACCGGAGGAAGGUGGGGAUGACGUCAAGUCCUCAUGGCCCUUAUGGGUAGGGCUUCACACGUCAUACAAUGGUACAUACAGAGGGCCGCCAACCCGCGAGGGGGAGCUAAUCCCAGAAAGUGUAUCGUAGUCCGGAUCGCAGUCUGCAACUCGACUGCGUGAAGUUGGAAUCGCUA